rfam:Pteropus alecto contig27970, whole genome shotgun sequence.
GGCUCCAUAGUGUAGUGGUUAGCACGUCUGCUUUACUCGCAGAAGGUCCUGGUUUCUUGCCCCAGGUGGAGCCA